CAAUUACUUAGCAAGCAAGCACGUCAUGAUAAACACGUCUUCCUUUAGAUGACAGUGAUUUUUUGUGUUACAAACCUUUCACUGGUCGACGGUUGAAGCUUCAAAUAUUCGAUCUUUCAGAUCUCUUAACGUUCUGAUAAGUUAAGCGUCAAAUGGCUUCGUCCGUUGAGUUCAUACGUGGCAAAAUAUUUUGGGCAACUGAAUUUAAAACAUUAAAAGUUAAUUGUCAUGUAAAAGCAAAGAUACGGCCUUAUGAUUUUUAUUGUUUUUAUUAA